rnacentral:rRNA from 1 species
CAGUCGCCGCGGUAAUACGUAGGUGGCAAGCGUUGUCCGGAAUUAUUGGGCGUAAAACGCGCGCAGGUGGUUUAAUAAGUCUGAUGUGAAAGCCCACGGCUCAACCGUGGAGGGUCAUUGGAAACUGUUAAACUUGAGUGCAGGAGAGAAAAGUGGAAUUCCUAGUGUAGCGGUGAAAUGCGUAGAGAUUAGGAGGAACACCAGUGGCGAAGGCGGCUUUUUGGCCUGUAACUGACACUGAGGCGCGAAAGCGUGGGGAGCAAACAGGAUUAGAGACCCCUGUAGUCCCUGUCUCUUAUAC